GUUGAAUGGGGGCCAGGAGCGGGGGAAAUAGGGAGGCUGCGAGUGUUGGCCGGAAUUAUUGGGCGUAAAGAGCGAGCGGGGGGUGCGACAAGUAAGACGGUAAAUAGCCCGGCUUAACCGGGAGGGGCCGGUUGAAACUGUCGGACUAGAGUGAAGCAGAGGACAGUGGAAUUCCCGGUGUAGUGGUGAAAUGCGUAGAUAUCGGGAGGAACACCAGUGGCGAAGGCGACUGUCUGGGCUUUAACUGACGCUGAGGCGCGAAGGCCGGGGGAGCAAACAGGAUUAGAUACCCCUGUAGUC
rnacentral:rRNA from 1 species